GAUGAACGCUGGCGGCGUGCCUAAUACAUGCAAGUCGAGCGAACAGACGAGGAGCUUGCUCCUCUGACGUUAGCGGCGGACGGGUGAGUAACACGUGGAUAACCUACCUAUAAGACUGGGAUAACUUCGGGAAACCGGAGCUAAUACCGGAUAAUAUAUUGAACCGCAUGGUUCAAUAGUGAAAGACGGUUUUGCUGUCACUUAUAGAUGGAUCCGCGCCGCAUUAGCUAGUUGGUAAGGUAACGGCUUACCAAGGCAACGAUGCGUAGCCGACCUGAGAGGGUGAUCGGCCACACUGGAACUGAGACACGGUCCAGACUCCUACGGGAGGCAGCAGUAGGGAAUCUUCCGCAAUGGGCGAAAGCUUGACGGAGCAACGCCGCGUGAGUGAUGAAGGUCUUCGGAUCGUAAAACUCUGUUAUUAGGGAAGAACAAAAGUGGAAGUAACUAUGCACGUCUUGACGGUACCUAAUCAGAAAGCCACGGCUAACUACGUG
rnacentral:rRNA from 1 species